UUCACUUGCAUACUGUGAGAGUCUGUUUAGGAAGUACAUAGAGUGAUUUCGUUUUACAGUCUCUGUGGAUACGAUACUCUGCUUGCUAUUUCUGUGCUACGAUUACACCGUGUUAGUUGCGGUAUUUUUGUUGCUAAUAAAAUAGUGAUCAGGUAGAGCUGGAGAGUUCUCGGGCAUGUUAGACUUAGGUGUGGCAGUCAAUUUGAUGCCGUUUGCUAUAUUUCAGAAAUUGGGCA
rnacentral:lncRNA from 1 species